rnacentral:rRNA from 1 species
GGCGGAUGGGCAUGCGUCGCAUUAGUUAGUUGGCGGUGUAACGGACCACCAAGACGACGAUGCGUAGGGGUUCUGAGAGGAAGGUCCCCCACACUGGUACUGAGACACGGACCAGACUCCUACGGGAGGCAGCAGUGAGGAAUAUUGGUCAAUGGGCGGGAGCCUGAACCAGCCAAGUCGCGUGAGGGAUGACGGCCCUAUGGGUUGUAAACCUCUUUUGCCGGGGAGCAAAGUGCCGCACGUGUGCGGUUUGGAGAGUACCCGGAGAAAAAGCAUCGGCUAACUCCGUGCCAGCAGCCGCGGUAAUACGGAGGAUGCGAGCGUUAUCCGGAUUUAUUGGGUUUAAAGGGUGCGUAGGCGGACGCUUAAGUCAGCGGUAAAAUUGCGGGGCUCAACCUCGUCGAGCCGUUGAAACUGGGUGCCUUGAGUGGGCGAGAAGUACGCGGAAUGCGUGGUGUAGCGGUGAAAUGCAUAGAUAUCACGCAGAACUCCGAUUGCGAAGGCAGCGUACCGGCGCCCAACUGACGCUGAAGCACGAAGGCGUGGGUAUCGAACAGGAUUAGAUACCCUGGUAGUCCACGCAGUAAACGAUGAAUGCUAGUUGUCCGGGGCGAUUGAGUUCUGG